AAUCUGUUACUGAGGGAUGGGCCUGCGGCGCAUUAGCUAGUUGGUGGGGUAACGGCUCACCAAGGCGACGAUGCGUAGCCGACCUGAGAGGGUGAACGGCCACACUGGGACUGAGACACGGCCCAGACUCCUACGGGAGGCAGCAGUAGGGAAUCUUCCGCAAUGGGCGAAAGCCUGACGGAGCAACGCCGCGUGAGUGAUGAAGGUUUUCGGAUCGUAAAGCUCUGUUGCCAGGGAAGAACGU
rnacentral:rRNA from 1 species